GACGAACGCUGGCGGCGUGCUUAACACAUGCAAGUCGAACGGAAAGGCCCUGCUUUUGUGGGGUGCUCGAGUGGAGACCGGGUGAGUUACACGUGAGUUACCUGCCAUUGCCUUUGGGAUAACUUAAGGCAACUGGGGCUCAUACCGGAUAGGAGCUCCCGCUGCUUGGUGGGGGUUGGAAAGUUUCGGCGGUUGGGGAGGGACUCGCGGCUCAUCAGCUUGUUGGUUGGGUAGUGGCUUACCAAGGCUUUGACGGGUGGCAGGGCUGGUAGGGUGACCGGCCCCGUUGGGACUGGGAUGCGACCCAGACUCCUACGGGAGGCAGCAGUGGGGUAGAUUGCACUAGGGGCGGAAGCCUGAUGCAGCAAAGCCGCGUGCGGGAUGACGUCCUUCGGUUUGUAUUCCGCUUUCGCCUGUGACGAAGCGUGAGUGACGGUAAUGGGUAAAGAAGCACCGGCUAACUACGUG
rnacentral:rRNA from 1 species